GAUGAACGCUGGCGGCGUGCCUAAUACAUGCAAGUCGAGCGAACUUUUGGUAGCUUGCUCCCAAAAGUUAGCGGCGGACGGGUGAGUAACACGUGGGUAACCUGCCUGUAAGACUGGGAGAACUUCGGGAAACCGGAGCUAAUACCGGAUAACAUUGAAGACCACAUGGCCUUCAAGUAAAAGUUGGAUUUUAGCUACCACUAACAGAUGGACCCGCGUCGCAUUAGCUAGUUGGUGAGGGAACGGCUCACCAAGGCGACGAUGCGUAGCCGACCGGAGAGGGUGGUCGGCCCCACUGGGACUUGGACACGGCCCAGACUCCUACGGGAGGCAGCCGUAGGGGAUCUUCCGCCAUGGACGGCAGUCUGACGGAGCCACGCCGCGUGGGCGAAGAAGGCCUUCGGGUCGUAAAGCUCUGUUGUUAGGGAAGAACAAGUAUCGUUCGAAUAGGGCGGUACCUUGACGGUACCUAACCAGAAAGCCACGGCUAACUACGUG
rnacentral:rRNA from 1 species